UACGAAGGGGGCGAGCGUUAAUCGGAAUUACUGGGCGUAAAGCGUGCGCAGGCGGUGAUGUAAGACAGAUGUGAAAUCCCCGGGCUCAACCUGGGAACUGCAUUUGUGACUGCAUCGCUGGAGUGCGGCAGAGGGGGAUGGAAUUCCGCGUGUAGCAGUGAAAUGCGUAGAUAUGCGGAGGAACACCGAUGGCGAAGGCAAUCCCCUGGGCCUGCACUGACGCUCAUGCACGAAAGCGUGGGGAGCAAACAGG
rnacentral:rRNA from 1 species